CACACCGCCCGUCGCUACUACCGAUUGAAUGACUCAGUGAGGCUUUCGGACUGGCUCAGGGAGGUUGGCAACGACCACCCCGAGCCGGAAAGUUCGUCAAACUCGGUCAUUUAGAGGAAGUAAAAGUCGUAACAAGGUUUCCGUAGCUCAAGUACGGGGUGCCUCGACCGCAAGGUUGAGGCGAUCCUUCCGCGUAACACUUGCCGAAGCCUUAGCAGCCCGAAAGGGUGCAGCCCCAACGACUAUAAUUCUCGAGGGUUGCUUAAAUGCUAGUCUGCGUCAAGCAGGCGACACUAUCAAAUUGCGGGAACACCCUAAAGACCUCAACACCAAGCGAUCGCGGGAAACCGCGGCGUGGCCGAGCUAAUAGCCCUGGGUAUGGUAACAGCUUGAGGUAUGACGCUCCUUCCGGAGUUGAAAUGGGCAAUCCGCAGCCAAGUCCUACAGCGCUCUUGGGCGUCACGGAUGCUGUUCACAGGCCAAAUGGUAGUGGGUGAUUCCCGAGGGGAGUUGCUUAAGAUAUGGUCGGGCCCCUUCAGAAAUGUUGGGGGUAAGUUUACGCUGUCAGCCACAAUGUCUGACAAGAACAACCGUUCCGUAGGUGAACCUGCGGAAGGAUCAUUACCGUUGGGGCCCUGCGCCCCAAUCAAGAUACCACCCCUUGCAUUUUGAGCACCUUCUGUUUCCUCGACGGGCCCGCCCGCCAAUGGGGACCACAUCAAACCCUUCUGUAGUUGCAGUAAGCGUCUGAAAACAAAACAAAAAAUCAAAACUUUCAACAACGGAUCUCUUGGUUCUGGCAUCGAUGAAGAACGCAGCGAAAUGCGAUAAGUAGUGUGAAUUGCAGAAUUCAGUGAAUCAUCGAAUCUUUGAACGCACAUUGCGCCCUUUGGUAUUCCUUAGGGCAUGCCUGUUCGAGCGUCAUCUAACCCCCUCAAGCACUGCUUGGUGUUGGGCGCUUUGUCCCGCCCCGGGCGCGGACUCGCCUCAAAAGUAUUGGCGGCCUGUGUAUUGGCUUCGAGCGCAGCAGACACGCGCCUCGCGAACCUCUGGCAUGGGCGUCCAUCAAGACGCACCCCAAAGUUUGACCUCGGAUCAGGUAGGGAUACCCGCUGAACUUAAGCAUAUCAAUAAGCGGAGGAAAAGAAACCAACAGGGAUUGCCCUAGUAACGGCGAGUGAAGCGGCAAGAGCUCAAAUUUGAAAUCUGGCCCUCUCAGGGUCCGAGUUGUAAUUUGGAGAGGGCGCUUUGGCGUCGGCUACGGCCUAAGUUCCUUGGAACAGGACGUCACAGAGGGUGAGAACCCCGUACGUGGCCGCUGGCCUUCGCCGUGUAAAGCCCCUUCGACGAGUCGAGUUGUUUGGGAAUGCAGCUCUAAAUGGGAGGUAAAUUUCUUCUAAAGCUAAAUACUGGCCAGAGACCGAUAGCGCACAAGUAGAGUGAUCGAAAGAUGAAAAGCACUUUGGAAAGAGAGUCAAAAAGCACGUGAAAUUGUUGAAAGGGAAGCGCUUGCAGCCAGACUUGCCUGUAGUUGCUCACCCGAGCCACCGGCUCGGUGCACUCUUCUGCGGGCAGGCCAGCAUCAGUCCGGGCGGUCGGAUAAAGGCCUCGGGAAUGUAGCUCCCCUCGGGGAGUGUUAUAGCCCGGGGUGCCAUGCGACCAGCCUGGACUGAGGUCCGCGCAUCUGCUAGGAUGCUGGCGUAAUGGCUGUAAGCGGCCCGUCUUGAAACACGGACCAAGGAGUCUAACAUCUAUGCGAGUGUUUGGGUGUCAAGCCCGGGCGCGCAAUGAAAGUGAACGGAGGUGGGAACCCCUUGGGGCGCACCAUCGACCGAUCCUGAUGUCUUCGGAUGGAUUUGAGUAAGAGCAUAGCUGUUGGGACCCGAAAGAUGGUGAACUAUGCCUGAAUAGGGUGAAGCCAGAGGAAACUCUGGUGGAGGCUCGCAGCGGUUCUGACGUGCAAAUCGAUCGUCAAAUUUGGGCAUAGGGGCGAAAGACUAAUCGAACUAUCUAGUAGCUGGUUCCUGC
rnacentral:rRNA from 1 species